rnacentral:misc_RNA from 1 species
AACCAUUCUCACCUGCGGCUAGACCUGCGGAAGGAUCAUUACAGAGUUCGUGCCCUCGCGGGUAGAUCUCCCACCCUUGUGUAUUUUCUACAUCUUGUUGCUUUGGCAGGCCGUUGGUUCGCCAACCACCGGCUCGCGGGCUGGUGCGUGCCUGCCAGAGGACCUCUCAAACUCGGUUUGUUAGUGUCGUCUGAGUACCAUAACAAUCGUUAAAACUUUCAACAACGGAUCUCAGAUCGG